rnacentral:tRNA from 1 species
GGACAGGUGUCCGAGCGGUUGAAGGAGCAGCAUUGGAAAUGCUGUAUACGGGCAACCGUAUCGUGGGUUCGAAUCCCACCCUGUCCGCCU